rnacentral:rRNA from 1 species
AGACCCGAAACCCGGUGAUCUAGCCAUGGGCAGGUUGAAGGUUGGGUAACACUAACUGGAGGACCGAACCGACUAAUGUUGAAAAAUUAGCGGAUGACCUGUGGCUGGGGGUGAAAGGCCAAUCAAACCGGGAGAUAGCUGGUUCUCCCCGAAAGCUAUUUAGGUAGCGCCUCGUGAAUUCAUCUCCGGGGGUAGAGCACUGUUUCGGCUAGGGGGCCAUCCCGGCUUACCAACCCGAUGCAAACUGCGAAUACCGGAGAAUGUUAUCACGGGAGACACACGGCGGGUGCUAACGUCCGUCGUGAAGAGGGAAACAACCCAGACCGCCAGCUAAGGUCCCAAAGUCAUGGUUAAGUGGGAAACGAUGUGGGAAGGCCCAGACAGCCAGGAUGUUGGCUUAGAAGCAGCCAUCAUUUAAAGAAAGCGUAAUAGCUCACUGGUCGAGUCGGCCUGCGCGGAAGAUGUAACGGGGCUAAACCAUGCACCGAAGCUGCGGCAGCGAACGUAUCACUUAAAGCGAUUCAGCGGGUUACGAUUGACGGAGCGAAGCGACGUCAAAGCGUAUACAAAGUCGAGUCGGUUUAAGGAUACGUUCGUUGGGUAGGGGAGCGUUCUGUAAGCCUGCGAAGGUGGCC